GACGAACGCUGGCGGCGUGCUUAACACAUGCAAGUCGAGCGGUAAGGCCCCUUCGGGGGUACACGAGCGGCGAACGGGUGAGUAACACGUGGGUGACCUGCCCUCAGCUCUGGGAUAAGCCUGGGAAACCGGGUCUAAUACCGGAUAUGACUCCAUGACGCAGUGUUGUGGGGUGGUAAAGCCUUGUGCGGCUGAGGAUGGGCCCGCGGCCUAUCAGCGUUGUUGGUGGGGUGAUGGCCUACCAAGGCGACGACGGGUAGCCGGCCUGAGAGGGCGACCGGCCACACUGGGACUGAGACACGGCCCA
rnacentral:rRNA from 1 species